rnacentral:sRNA from 1 species
UGUCAAAAGAGGCUGCAGCUCUGGCAAUAUAUACUCUGAAUAAUAAUAAUCUUAACAAACAGACCAAAUGCUCUUGGGCGAAAGAACCCAAUGCAGUAAUCAAAGAGUUAGGCUAUAAUUGUGAAAAUGCCUCUUCUUCUGCAGCCACCACGAAUGAGAAUGCUGAAGGUCAUCACUUCAUUGCUCAAGGCAUUAAAGAUUUCUGCCCUUCUUUAAAAAAGAAGAUACACAAGAACAGAUGUUCCAGCCAAAAAACAAAAAUUAGAUAGUGAUUUUAUUCAUAAUACUCCAAGCUCUGUGAUGAAGAAUCCACCAUAUUCAUUAAGUGAUAAAAGUUUCUAUCUUGUCAUGGAAAUCAGAGCAAUUAUUCUGAUGAUAAAUGAUCCAAAUGGAUUAGACCUUGACACUAUCAAGAAAAAUUUAAUCUUAACAGGGAAGAUUGAGCCUGAUGAGACUGAAGAGAAUGUUAGGAAUGUAGUUUACUUUGGAAUUGGAAUCAAAUUGAUCCGUAGAAUAUUCCCAUAGAUGGAUUAUUUUUGUGUUCUCAGAAAGUUGAGACCUACAUAUUUAGCCACCUUUAGCACAGACAUAACCUUUUUUAGAUUUAAUUUCGCCAUAUAUUUUUGUCCUCUGCAUUGGAUUUUCUUUUGACCUUAAGUAUAUAUCCAGCAGCAGUGAUCUUCAGCUGUCUCGUUCCAAAGCAGACUGUAGCAAGGUGCUCUCUUCUGUUUGUUCCACAUUUACCUACAAGUACUCAUCUUGUGUAUUUUGUGUCCAAAUGAACAGGAAUAUAAGUGAGUUCGGUUUAUUUCUAAAAAUACACUUUUCUCCCGCACAAGCAAAAAAGAUAAAUAAGUAAAAACCCAAGAAGUUGUAGCUAAUCCUAUAUAUUGAUCAAUGUGUUAAUUAUUAUAAGUUUUACCAUGAGAAAGUAUUUUUUUUUUUUGCAUGUGACAGUAGUAAAUUAAUUAUAUUUAGACUACUGACUAGGUCUAGUGGCUCUUGGAUCUAGAUAUUUUAUAAAAUGUGCUCAAAAGCAGCAAUUUUUGCCUUCUUAUAAAAAGAUUUGAUGAACUUCUAUCUUAUUUUUAAUAGAAUCUUUAAAAAGGGCAAAAUAUGUUUUAAACUUUAUUUCUUGUUUAACCAUUUGUUGAGAAAUAUUUUUCCAUUUCUCAUCUUCUGUGUACCAACUUGUACAUACUGGUGUCUCAACCUUUCUAAAAAACACUCAAAUCUGUUGUGUAUAGUUGAGUUUGAAUCAAUGUAUGGAUAUAAUCUAUUUCUUGAAACAUUUGGUGCGUUUGAAUCAAUGUGUGGAUAUAAUCUAUUAAUUUUAACAUUUGGUGCGUUUCUUGACAGCCGGUUAAAACUGGCCCAGAAUUUUUUUAUAUAUUUUUAUUUACCUUAUAUUUAUAUUUUUGAAAAAUU